GAUGAACGCUGGCGGCGUGCCUAAUACAUGCAAGUCGAGCGAACAGACGAGGAGCUUGCUCCUCUGACGUUAGCGGCGGACGGGUGAGUAACACGUGGAUAACCUACCUAUAAGACUGGGAUAACUUCGGGAAACCGGAGCUAAUACCGGAUAAUAUAUUGAACCGCAUGGUUCAAUAGUGAAAGACGGUUUUGCUGUCACUUAUAGAUGGAUCCGCGCCGCAUUAGCUAGUUGGUAAGGUAACGGCUUACCAAGGCGACGAUGCGUAGCCGACCUGAGAGGGUGAUCGGCCACACUGGAACUGAGACACGGUCCAGACUCCUACGGGAGGCAGCAGUAGGGAAGCUUCCGCAAUGGGCGAAAGCCUGACGGAGCAACGCCGCGUGAGUGAUGAAGGUCUUCGGAUCGUAAAACGCUGUUAUUAGGGAAGAACAAAUGUGUAAGUAACUAUGCACGUCUUGACGGUACCUAAUCAGAAAGCCACGGCUAACUACGU
rnacentral:rRNA from 1 species